rnacentral:rRNA from 1 species
UUGAAAGGGAAACGAUUGAAGUCAGUCGUACCGACGGAGAAUCAACCUUUGGAAAGCGGGUCGAGGUAUUCGAGGAGUUUAAAAGCCCUCUUAUGCUCACGUACUUUGUUUUCUUGGGUGCACUUCUUCGUAUUGGUAGGUUAACAUCAAUUUUGGACGUUACAAAAUGAUUGGGGGAAUGUAGCUUCGAUUUUUCGAAGUGUUAUAGCCCUUGGUAGAUGUGACGACCGGGAUUGAGGAUUGCAACGAAUGCUUUCGGGCUAUCCGUCUGACCUCUGGUGGUUGCUUUGGGGUCGAAAGCGUGCUUACGACUUCAAAGUUGGCUAUCAAAAGGCUAGAACGUGAUUAAAUUCGUUAAGGAUGUUGACGUA